rnacentral:rRNA from 1 species
UACGAAGGGGGCUAGCGUUGUUCGGAAUUACUGGGCGUAAAGCGCACGUAGGCGGAUACUUAAGUCAGGGGUGAAAUCCCGGGGCUCAACCCCCGGAACUGCCUUUGAUACUGGGUAGUCUCGAGUCCGGAAGAGGUGAGUGGAAUUCCGAGUGUAGAGGUGAAAUUCGUAGAUAUUCGGAGGAACACCAGUGGCGAAGGCGGCUCACUGGUCCGGUACUGACGCUGAGGUGCGAAAGCGUGGGGAGCAAACAGG